UUCAGUGGAGAAAAAAGACAGGGAAACUGAACUUGCUUCAUCAUCUAGCUAUCAAAAGAGCAAAUGCUGGAGAACACUAGGUAGAUUUUUUUUGCCCUCUAGCUUUUUCUUAUCAUCCGUGCAAGUGCGGCUAUGAACUUUCUCACCGGUAUCUAUAGCGAUGCCUCUUACCGUUUUUACUGGGAUACAAACCCUCGGUUUUGCGUAGCUGCUGUGGCCUCACAUGUCGAGGAUGCCGAAAAAGUGUCGCAGGUGUUGCAGCAAGUAUCGCCGCGCAUGACCAUUGUUUGCACGGACAAGAUCGUCUUGGAUACAUCAAGAAAAGCAGCUUCAUCGAGCGAUGCAUCUCAGCUUCUGCGAAGCGAUUGGUGCGUGAAGCGCCAAAAGUCGGUUUUUAGCUGCAUUGUCUUGGUUUGCUUUCUUGAUCGUCUCGGCGUUAAUGUCACAGCUGCAAAGUUAAGUGAGGAGCUGGUGCUGUGUCUUGGAGCUUCGGUCGAAUCGAUGCGCUGCGACGUUGUGUUUGCUCCGGUCGCGGAGUCGACCGCCGACAGCAAUGAAGAGCUCAGGGACAGCAUUGAAAAGAGCUUGAGAUCUCUGCUCGGAAGCCGCCUUGCCGGAUCGGUGCUACAAACGAUCGAAAACGGUGUGUGGAGGGGUAUUGCUGCCCUGCAAAGUCUCGUAUUUGACAGCACGGUUGCUUAUCACAAGGGAGAAGUGCGGCGACUCCGUGACCGCAAAGAGAUGCUUAAUGACGAUAGCGAUCAGCGACGUGCUCUGCCGGGGCUACAUUUUAAAAUUGGCUGGCAUUAUUUGGUGCUUCACAACUUUUCGAGCGCAAGGCAGCAGAUGCUGUCGGGCCUGCGGAAAAUUAAGACUCUUUUUCCCCUUUUCCCCUCCUUUGAGGCUCGCUUGUGUGGAUGUGUUUUUCUGUGGCAUUUUUUGUUUUGUAUUUCUGUGAGUGAAGGCCAUCUCAGCAGCUCUUCGGAGGUGUACCAGGAAAUACGGUGCUUUGUGGAUUGGAUAGGGACGGCUUACGGUGGUAGCGUCAAAGACGAGUGCCAGACGGUUGUCUUGGUUCUCACGAAAGUCAUGGAGGCAGAGUGGCUCGAGUACCUGGCCCGGAAAACAGAAAACCUGAUGGCGCGACAGUGUUGUGAUUACCUUGUGGCGUCUGCGCAGGCGUUGCAGGAUUGCGAUGCAUUUUUCCCAUCUCGUAAAGAAAGCAUCGCCAUCGAGGCGCCGUCACACAUUGGAGAGGAGGAACUCCUGGGCAACCACGCGUCUGCGUUGUGGAAGUCCUUCGAUAAAAGCGCUCUUCGUGGCCGGAUCGCUCGGCUUCUGGCAGAAGCAAAGGCAGUGAGCUCGUCUCGGGAGACAGAGGUUGAGUAUCUUGCGUUUCUCGCCGGCAACGAGUUGAUGGACGGUGUCCCCGAUACCGAGAUGAUCGAUCGCAUGCUUGUGAAGGCGAGCAGCACGAUCAUCUCCCGGCUAGCUGAAAUGGCGUGGGGCAGUGCCCGUUCGUGGAGUGCACUGUCCCCACGCUUGACUAUUGCCCUCCUGCUGCAUGGCUGUGUUGACGCCCUGGGCCACGCGGAACAGGAAAGGUACUAUCUGCGUAUGCACGAGUUGGAGGGGUGUCUCCACAAUGACGUCGUCCUGGAGUACCCGAAAGGAAGACUGCAGUCUCCCUUCACUGCUGUGGCCUAUUUUGACGAGGAGAGCGCCAAGGUAGUUGGGGACUCAGCACGAGUGGUUGUCACGCUUUAUUCUACCUCUGCAGCAUGCAUCAACGUCGACGUGCGCAUGCUCGCCCUCUCUUCUGGGACGGUGGCUGGAGCCACAGAGACCCAAGUGCCGUUCAGCCCGGCUCGGUGCGUUAAACUGUCUGCCUCGUGUCCACAAGAGCUUGCCGUCGACGUGCCGCUUUCACACAGUGGAGAGUAUGUGUGUACCAGCUUGACGGCCGACGUCCAUGUUGGCGGGAUUUGUGCCACCACGCGGUGGCGCUUCGCCGUCGGGCCCUCUAGUGUGGCGGGUAGGUCCGCAGCCGGCACACGCGCGGUGCUCUCUGCGAAAAUAUAUCGGCAAGUGCUGCAGGUGUUGAAUCCACCGACUACUUUCAGGGUGGAGUGCCCCUCUCUCCUUGAAGCUGUUGAGGGAGAGUGCGCUGAGUGCGACAUUGUCAUUUCGUGUGCUUUGCUCGGGGUGCGGAAUGGCUACAUGACCCUUCCACACGAGCCGAAGCUGUUCCGGGCCGUGUGUUGGGCCAGCGCGAACGAGCCACUCCCUGUCACGGAGACCGGCGGGCAGGCGCGCUAUGCGGUGCCGGACCUAGCAGCCGAUGAGUCUGUGCGGCUCCUUGUGAGUAUUGCCUGCAUUCGUAGCGCCGAGUUUCGCCUCCCCAUCGCCUUUGAAUACUCCACAGAUCGCUACGGCGGCGUCAGUUGCUGCCGAACGCUCCACAUAUCAGUUGACCCACCUUUCAACGCUGAGCACUCAAUGAUUGGUGGAAGCCUAUGGGGUGACGCCGCGGCGGCAAUGUCUGUCCCGUCGACAAGCUCGUCGUACGCACAGUACGACAAGAGCGUCCUGGUGAAAGCCGCCGACAUCUUUAGCUCCCCGCUGGUCACCAACUGGAAGGACGACUGCGCCCUCUAUUUUUUCACGAAGGAGACGACAGCGAAGGAAUUUGUGUUUCAGCGGGGUGACACCGUGACGCUAAGCAGUACGUUUCGUUGCACCGCGAAGAGGGGUAUCACAGUCCUCCACGCUGAAGUUGUCGCCGGCGAUGACGUUGACGUGCUGUCGUUCUGCUGCGGCGAGGAGAGCUCGUUUCUCGAGGAAGGUGAGUGCGUCACAAUGGUGACGCGCUUUCAAGCCAAACGUCUUGGACGGUUUAACCCAGGCUUCAUACGCAUCUUUUUCGCUCCCCAGCGCACAGCGGCGCGCCUGUACUCUGACGUGUGCAUUCCAACCGUCUACAUCGAGGACUUCGGGGUGCAGGUGUCCGCAAAGUAUCCGCUGGUUACACCAUACGGCUCGCCUCUCGAGCUGGACGUCUCCAUUUACAACGCGGCCGGCGUUCCGUUCAUUGGUGAGCUGUUGCUGGACCCACAGACAGAUGACUUUGUGUGCGCAGCCACAACACGCAGGUCGCUUCAAAUCGGGCCGACUGAAGGGAGUGUGACACGAUACGUGCUCACCCCUCUUCGUGCAGGUGAGCUGAAGCUGCCUCGUUUCCAUGUCCGAUGUGAUGCAACGUCGCGUCUCGUCGCCAGCGCUGAUGAGAGCUACGUCGUGCAUGUCCUUCCCUGAGGUCCUCAAGGGUAGCGCAGCUCGCCACUCGCGGACGGGAUGUAUGGGCAUCUCACUAUUUAGAGGCGUUCUGGGAAGGAUAAAGAGAACGGAUCGAUGCCGCAGCACGUGGGCUGAGCCGCAUGCGCUCUCGCCUGCUCUUCUUUUCUGUUUUUCUCUCAAUCACGUUUUGGUGUGCCCUGAACGCAGGUGCCUGAGCACAACCAGCGCAAUUGUAGUGGCGACAACCAUGCGGUGAAGAUGCACUUUUUCGUGGACUCUCGCACGCUGGGCGACAUGUACUCUCAUACUUGCCGACCAACCGUCACUGGCACUUUUGCUUGCAUUUUCUCUCAAGUUCUGCCAAGCGCUGCAACCAUCUCCCUCAAGCACUGACCUGCUCUCUCCCCCUAUUGUCUCUUUCUCUUCUCCCUUUUGUGUACUACUGUGCCAUUGCCUAAUAUUGUAUGCUGAAUGACAAGCGCAG
rnacentral:misc_RNA from 1 species